ensembl:lncRNA
GUUAGUGCAAUAGGUUACACAGUGCAAUAGAGAACACAGGUGUCUGCUGCUUGAUGCAACUCGUAUCUUCCAGUAGAGUCCUUGCAGUGCUCUCAGUGUGACCAGGAUGUCAAUAUCCAAGCCUGGUGGCAUUCUGGUCUUCUCUGCCCUGGGCAGGUGGAGUGGGCUGCAGGAGCCCUGCCAGGUCCCUGCUGCAUCCCUGCAGGUGCUGGAGCUCUUGCAUCUACCCAGCUUUAUUACAGCAUUAUGAUGAGGCCACCUCUGAAGUGCGGUGGGAUAAGUUGAUCUACGGGCAGCUUGCAACCAGGCCGCUACAGCUGCAGCAACACAUGCUCAGAUUUGGAUGUGACCAGAAUUUUCUGCCACAAACUGCAUGAGGUCCUGCGUUUUCCCAGAAGCCAUGCAGACUUUUGUUUUCUGGUGUUGGGCUAGAAUCUUCUCAUCCAGUUCAUAAAUGAGUGCUUGCAAUUUCAUGCUCACUCUCUGUCCUAAGUACCCAAGCAUUGCACCCCACGUGUUGGUGCUUGUGUGCAGCAUACAAAACCUGCUCUCUGGCUGUGCAAUUUCUCCUGGUUGAGGAAGAGGAGAGGCUUGUCCCAACAGAUCCAUCAUCUGCUUCCUGAAUUGCUCUGCAAGGAACCAGCUUUCCUUCCAAGCUCAAAGCAAUGAUUCACCGUCAGCACACGGUCCAGCAGCAGCUGGGAGUCACAUACACGUGAGACCUCUCAACCCACAGGAGCUGAAGAGACGAGCAAAUCCAGCCAGUUCCCAGACAUUCAACGUGGCGUAUCCCACACUGAACCUUUCUCAUAAUCUUAUUUAUAAUUUCCCAUCAGUGUUUUCUCCAGGGCCCUUGUAUUUUCCCCUUUUGUCAGGAUAGAUAAUGAAUGCAGUCACUUUGGAACUUUUAGCAUCAAAAUGACAUAGAUGUAAAUAAGGCUCAUAAAUCUCAUGACCCUUCAUGUCCAAGGGCAAAAGUACUGUAG